rnacentral:rRNA from 1 species
CCUGGCUCAGAUUGAACGCUGGCGGCAGGCCUAACACAUGCAAGUCGAACGGUAACAGGAAGAAGCUUGCUUCUUGCUGACGAGUGGCGGACGGGUGAGUAAUGUCUGGGAAACUGCCUGAUGGAGGGGGAUAACUACUGGAAACGGUAGCUAAUACCGCAUAACGUCGCAAGACCAAAGAGGGGGACCUUCGGGCCUCUUGCCAUCGGAUGUGCCCAGAUGGGAUUAGCUAGUAGGUGGGGUAACGGCUCACCUAGGCGACGAUCCCUAGCUGGUCUGAGAGGAUGACCAGCCACACUGGAACUGAGACACGGUCCAGACUCCUACGGGAGGCAGCAGUGGGGAAUAUUGCACAAUGGGCGCAAGCCUGAUGCAGCCAUGCCGCGUGUUAAUGAAGAAGGCCUUCGGGUUGUAAAGUACUUUCAGCGGGGAGGAAGGGAGUAAAGUUAAUACCUUUGCUCAUUGACGUUACCCGCAGAAGAAGCACCGGCUAACUCCGUGCCAGCAGCAGC